GGGAAUAUAGCUCAAUUGGUAGAGCAGCUGACUCUUAAUCAGUUGGUUCAAGGUUCGAGUCCUUGUAUUCCCACCA
rnacentral:tRNA from 1 species